rnacentral:tRNA from 1 species
GCCGAAGUGGCGGAACUGGCAGACGCGUAGCUCUCAAAAAGCUAUGGACCUUGCGUCCAUGUGGGUUCGACUCCCACCUUCGGCA